UACGUAGGGGGCAAGCGUUGUCCGGAAUCAUUGGGCGUAAAGAGCGUGUAGGCGGCUUGGUAAGUCCGCUGUGAAAGUCCAGGGCUCAACCCUGGAAAGCCGGUGGAAACUGUCAAGCUUGAGUCCGGAAGAGGCGAGUGGAAUUCCUGGUGUAGCGGUGAAAUGCGCAGAUAUCAGGAGGAACACCAAUGGCGAAGGCAACUCGCUGGGACGGUACUGACGCUGAGACGCGAAAGCGUGGGGAGCAAACAGG
rnacentral:rRNA from 1 species